UUCCAAACUUUCCGGGGAGUUGGAAAACAAGAUGUUAUGGAGAGAGGCUGCGUAGAUGUGCUUGUUUAUUGUAAAUAAGUUAAAAUUGUCAGAAGUGUUGCAAUCCAAAAUUUUUGAGGAUUAUGUGUGUGCGUGCAACUAAUUAACCACACACACAACUACGUGAGAUUUGCACAAUAAAUCAUCUACAAGUACCCCUGGUGUGAGACGUAAUGUUCUAACCGGACAUCCUGUGGCCGUUCAAUUACUCUGAACCAAAAAAGAGUGAACAGUAGUUUUCUGAUGGUAUGGGGUUGCAUGAGUGCGUGUGGCAUGGGCAGCUUACACAUCUGGAAAGGCACCAUCAAUGCUGAAAGGUAUAUCCAAGUUCUACAACAACAUAUGCUCCCAUCCAGAUGUCAUCUCUUUCAGGGAAGACCUUGCAUUUUCCAACAUGACAAUGCCAGACCACAUACUGCAUCAAUUACAACAUCAUGGCUGCGUAGAAGAAGGAUCCGGGUACUGAAAUGGCCAGCCUGCAGUCCAGAUCUUUCACCCAUAGAAAACAUUUGGCGCAUCAUAAAGAGGAAGAUGCGACAAAGAAGACCUAAGACAGUUGAGCAACUAGAAGCCUGUAUUAGACAAGAAUGGGACAACAUUCCUAUUCCUAAACUUGAGCAACUUGUCUCCUCAGUCCCCAGAUGUUUGCAGACUGUUAUAAAAAGAAGAGGGGAUGUCACACAGUGGUAAACUUGGCCUUGUCCCAACUUUUUCGAGAUGUGUUGAUGCCAUGAAAUUUAAAAUCAUUUUAAACUUAUUUUAAACUUAUUUUUCCGUUAAAAUGAUACAUUUUCUCAGUUUAAACAUUUGAUAUGUCAUCUAUGUUGUAUUCUGAAUAAAAUAUUGAAAUUUGAAACUUCCA